rnacentral:rRNA from 1 species
UGGGGAAUCUUGGACAAUGGGGGCAACCCUGAUCCAGCCAUGCCGCGUGAGUGAUGAAGGCCUUAGGGUCGUAAAGCUCUUUCGCCUGUGAAGAUAAUGACGGUAGCAGGUAAAGAAACCCCGGCUAACUCCGUGCCAGCAGCCGCGGUAAUACGGAGGGGGUUAGCGUUGUUCGGAAUUACUGGGCGUAAAGCGCACGUAGGCGGACCAGAAAGUUGGGGGUGAAAUCCCGGGGGCUCAACCCCGGAACUGCCUCCAAAACUAUUGGUCUAGAGUUCGAGAGAGGUGAGUGGAAUUCCAAGUGUAGAGGUGAAAUUCGUAGAUAUUUGGAGGAACACCAGUGGCGAAGGCGGCUCACUGGCUCGAUACUGACGCUGAGGUGCGAAAGUGUGGGGAGCAAACAGGAUUAGAUACCCUGGUAGUCCACACCGUAAAACGAUGAAUGCCAGUCGUCGGGUAGCAUGCUAUUCGGUGACACACCUAACGG